CGGGCGGCCGUGACCCUGCUGGAGUCCGGGGGGGACCUCCAGCCCCCCGGGGGGUCCCUGCGCCUCCUCUGCCGAGGACAAGGAUUCGACAUCGGGAGAUUUGAGAUGUUCUGGAUCCGCCAGAGACCCGGGAAGGCGCUGGAAUUCAUCGCGAGCAUCACCAGCGGUGGCAGCACGUACUACGCUCCAUCCGUGCGUGGCCGGUUCACCAUCAGCAGGGACAACGGGCAGAGCUCGGUGACGCUGAGCAUGAACAACCUCCAGGACGAGGAUUCCGGGGUUUAUUUCUGCGGCAAAGAUGCUGAUAGUUGUUGUUAUGGUGUUGCUGAUGGUGGAUUUCCCCCCAAAGCUCAGCCCUGA